AUGGCCGGCGGCGACCGCAUCCCUGACCUCCCUGACGACCUGCUGCGGCGCAUCCUCUACUUCGCGCCUGUCAAGGAGGCCGCGUCCACCAGCGCGCUCGCGCGCCGGUGGCGCUCGCUGUGGCUCUCGUCGGGCGCCGUCAACCUCGACACGCGCUCCUACCACGUCCUGGACGAUAAUUUGUACGGCAAGCGAGCCUCCUUCGUGCGCGACGCCCACGCGGCUCUCGAUGCCCACGGCCGCCAUUGCCCCCUCGGGAAGCUCACCUUCCACGUGGAAGGCCACAGAUGGGACAUCGUCCAGGUAUUCCUGUGCAUCAGCGAUGACGGCUUGAAGGACGACAUCGUGGGCCUCGUGCUCUCGCACCGGGCGGCCCGAUCCGUCGAGGAGCUCUGCGUCGACGCUUACGUCCGUCGCCACCCGUACGAAGAUCGGGACGAGAGCGGAUAUUACGACCUCAGUCUCGCAUCCCUGCCGUCCAAGAAUCUCCGCCGGCUGCGCAUCACCAGCUGCACAAGCCUCAGGGUGCCUCCGGACAGCGCCCCCGUCGCGUUCCCGCGGCUGGAGGAGCUGCGGCUGCGCUUUUGCAGCGACGUGCCGCUCGAGGAUCUCCAGAGCGUCGUCGACUCCGCCCCUCACCUCGCCGUCCUGGAGCUCCACUCCGUAUGUCUCUCCUCAUCCGAGAACGAUGUUCCUGGUGAUGCAGCCACACACGAGGGUUUGCCGCCGCCGGCAAAACUCCGGUGUCCGGCCGUCACGGCCCUCGUGUUGUCGGACUGCACCUGGACGAACUGGACCGGCGUAGAGCUGGACGCGCCGAUGCUGCGAUGCUUCAGAUAUAAUGGGAAUUUUGGCGAGCCGUUCGCACUAAAACCACAAGAAGCCGCAAACCUCAAGCGAGUGGACAUAGACUUCUCCCCUGGCAUGUAUUAUUACAUAGAAAACAACACAUGCGCCUGCUUCUGGCAACGUGCUGCGAGCUUCAGCAAUGCCAGGGUCUUGAAGCUGAAAACCAACCAGCUCGAGCACCUCAGGCCGGGCUGCGAGACGAACGGGCCCGAGCCGAAUAAGGUCCUGUUCCGCGACCUCGAACGCCUCGAGCUGGAGGCACACAGUACAAGCCAGGACGGAGCAAGCCCACCGGAUCGGCCAUUGCGCACGUCCUCCACUGCUGCCCCAUGA
rnacentral:rRNA from 1 species